rnacentral:rRNA from 1 species
UACGUAGGGUGCAAGCGUUGUCCGGAAUUAUUGGGCGUAAAGAGUUCGUAGGCGGCCUGUUGCGUCCGCUGUGAAAGCCCGGGGCUUAACCCCGGGUCGGCAGUGGAUACGGGCAGGCUAGAGGUAGGUAGGGGAGAAUGGAAUUCCCGGUGUAGCGGUGAAAUGCGCAGAUAUCGGGAGGAACACCGGUGGCGAAGGCGGUUCUCUGGGCCUUACCUGACGCUGAGGAGCGAAAGCGUGGGGAGCGAACAGG